UUCUUUCUCUUUCGUUCUCUCUCUCCCUCUCUGAUUCUAGAUCUGAUUCUCUCUCUCCUACAAGAAAACCUCCAUGAAUCCAAGUCCCUGAGAUUUCAGAAAGCAUGUAUUCUUUAAUUUCAAAAGUCAAACCCUGCAUUCUCUCAGCUUCUCUCUCGUCUUCGUUUAUUCAUUCAAGCAUGUAUUCUCUAAUUUCAUCAGUCAAACCCUAAUAUCCGAUUAUAUAGCAUGUAAUGGUGGGAGUCUUCAGGUUGCAGACGAAGCAACGUGUGUUUCAUGAUCAACAACGGUGGCGGUUAGCAUGAAGCCAAUCGUUUUGGUUUUGCAGUUCCCGAGACCUUUUCAAGAUUCAUAAUCCACUACUGGUUAGAGGAUUUGAGAUACAGAUGCAGAAAUGGAUGGGUGCUUGUGACUGCAUUCAUUAUAACCAAGGCGGGGCCUGGCACGAUUGCUGAGGCGUUGAUCAGGGGGCUUCCGAUCAUCCUCAACGACUAUAUUCCAGGACAAGUAUACAAAAUUAAACGCUUCAUACUAUAUUCCUCAUUGAUGGGUUCAUUAGAUAUGUGCUCUACUGCCUGCUGCUCUUUGCUUCCAAGUUUGCUGUUUUCUUCAGGCAUGUUGUGAUGCAUAGCCUCCAAUUGUGGCACGGCAUGUAUUAGAUCGUUAAUAUACAAUUGAAGAUGAAAACGGAGCUUAUGAAACUUCACCAAUGCUUUACCUCAAAGAUAUCCAACAUUUGGGUGUCAAACUAUGGGCUAAUGAAGAUUGAUGAAACAGGAUGGAUUUUCCAUUUGGCUAGGAAACCGAUGGGGCAACUUACUGAAAUUGACGAAGUUUACCACAUCGUGAGGUCCGUUUUUUAAACAUUUUUUAAACCACCUUUUACUGGGAAGCUCGAGAAUGAGGCCAUACUAGAGUCAAAGGGUGUCAACUACACUUCUAUAAGACCCGUUUAUAUCUACGACCCGUUGAACUACAACCCUGUCGAAGAGUGGUUUUUCCAUAGGUUGAAAGCGGGCCGACUCACCUCCAUUCCCAACUCAGGUUUGCAAGUAACCCAAUUCGGUCACGUAAAGGUUAGUAAAAGUGUAAAACUAAUAAUUAUUUUGUUUGACUUCAAAAGUCAAACGUCUUGAUGAGUCAAAUUGACCAAAUGCAGGAUUUGGCUACAACUUCUAUAUAAAUAUGCUCCACACCAUUUUUAUAAGUUUUGACUUUUUAAUAUUUAUUUCCAAAGGCGUGAGGCGGAAGAGGUUAAGCCUAUACUAGAUGCACUAUUCGAAUCUAGAACAGUACAUAUACUGCUCUAAUAGCCGAUGUUUACCUUGAAUCCGAUAUUUUACCACAUCGUCAGAUUGAUGUGGUUGACCCUAAAAGCUGACACAAGGGGAGUCUCGAGACCGAGGCCUUACUAGAGUCAAAAGGUGUCAACUACACUUCUAUAAGACCCGUUUAUAUCUACGACCCAUUGAACUACAACCCUGUCGAAGAGUGUUUUUUCCAUAGGUUGAAAGCGGGCCGACCAUCCCCAUUCCCAAAUCAGUCAAACAGUCUUGAUGUGUUAACGUUGACCAAAUGGAGGAUUUGGCUACAACUUUUAUAAAAGUUUUGCGGAAUGAAAAGCAAGCAAACAAGUGUACAACAUUUCGGGAGAUAGAUAUGUUACUUUCGAUGGAUUAGCAAGAACUUGCGCUAAGGCUGGUGGAUUCCCUGAGCCCGAGAUCAUUCACUAUAAUCCUAAGGAGUUCCAUUAUGGUAAAAAGAAAGAAUUUCCAUUCCAGGACCAGGUAAACACCAACUUAUAUAUAUGUGCAUUAAGUCAACAUUGUGUUCUGUGAUGGAAGAUAUUCUUACAGGAUUCAAGAUGCAUGCACGUGGUUGGCGAUCGAUAUACUAAACACAGCCAUUUAUCCCGUCACCGUAAUUCCGCUUCUGGUCUACUGCUGAAAUUUAAAGCAAGUAAUAGCAGCCCGUCGUUUACUUCUAUCGAGAAAUCAGGACAUAUCGAUCCAGGAGGGCAUCAUGGAGGAUCAUAUCUUCUAUUGACCAGAAGAAAGAGAGCCGUAGGAAUGAAGAUCAUGUCAAGCUAAUUAAGGACUAUAGGGCGAGAAACGAGACCGAACUAAGCAAAAUUUAUGACGGAUCAUAUGUUUAACAUUGUUUUAUAAAGAUAUGUAACUAAACACAAAGAAUUUAAAUAAUAUAUUAUAAUAUGUUUUUUAGUA